rnacentral:rRNA from 1 species
AUUGAACGCUGGCGGCGUGCUUAACACAUGCAAGUCGAUCGGUAACGCGGGGGCAACCCUGGCGACGAGAGGCGGACGGGUGAGGAACGCUUGGGAAUCUGCCCUUCAGCGGGGGACAACCCGGGGAAACCCGGGCUAAUACCGCAUACGCUCUAUGGAGGAAAGCCGGGGACCGCAAGGCCUGGCACUGAAGGAUGAGCCCAAGUCGGAUUAGCUAGUUGGCGGGGUAACGGCCCACCAAGGCGACGAUCCGUAGCUGGUCUGAGAGGACGAUCAGCCACACUGGGACUGAGACACGGCCCAGACUCCUACGGGAGGCAGCAGUGGGGAAUAUUGGACAAUGGGGGAAACCCUGAUCCAGCGACGCCGCGUGGGUGAAGAAGGCCUGCGGGUUGUAAAGCCCUUUCGGUAGGGACGAAAGCUCUCGACCUAACACGUCGGGAGGUUGACUUAACCUACAAAAGAAGCACCGGCUAACUCUGUGCCAGCCGCCGCCGUAACAC